rnacentral:tRNA from 1 species
GUUUUUAUAGUUUAUUCAAAACAUUAAUUUUGUAAAUUAAAAUAGGUAACUUAACCUAAAAUCA